rnacentral:rRNA from 1 species
AACGAACGCUGGCGGCGUGCCUAACACAUGCAAGUCGAACGGGAAAGCCCGCAAGGGUGAGUACAGUGGCGCACGGGUGCGUAGCACGUGGGUAAUCUGCCCAGAAGCCCGGAAUAACUCCCCGAAAGGGGUGCUAAUGCCGGAUGAGACCACGGGGACUUCGGUUCCUGGGGGAAAAGGUGGCCUCUGUAUACAAGCUAUCACUUCUGGAUGAGCCCGCGGCCCAUCAGCUAGUUGGCGGGGUAAUGGCCCACCAAGGCUACGACGGGUAGCUGGUCUGAGAGGACGAUCAGCCACACUGGAACUGAGACACGGUCCAGACUCCUACGGGAGGCAGCAGUGGGGAAUCUUGCGCAAUGGGCGAAAGCCUGACGCAGCAACGCCGCGUGUGUGAUGAAGGUCUUCGGAUCGUAAAGCACUGUCGGGAGGGACGAAUAAGGGCCGGGUGAACAAUCCGGUCCGACGACGGUACCUCCAGAGGAAGCACCGGCUAACUCUGUGCCAGCAGCCGCGGUAAUACAGAGGGUGCUAGCGUUGUUCGGAAUUAUUGGGCGUAAAGCGCGUGUAGGCGGCCGGCCAAGUCGGAUGUGAAAGCCCUCGGCUCAACCGAGGAAGUGCGUUCGAUACUAGCUGGCUUGAGUACCGGAGAGGGUGGUGGAAUUCCCGGUGUAGAGGUGAAAUUCGUAGAUAUCGGGAGGAACACCAGUGGCGAAGGCGACCACCUGGACGGAUG